GGCCGCCUGGCGAAAUGGCAUCGCGUCUGACUACGAUAUAGGUAAUCAGGAGAUUGCAGGUUCGACCCCUGCGGUGGUCA
rnacentral:tRNA from 1 species